UCAACUUGAGAGUUUGAUCCUGGCUCAGAACGAACGCUGGCGGCAGGCUUAACACAUGCAAGUCGAGCGAAGCCUUCGGGCUUAGCGGCGGACGGGUGAGUAACGCGUGGGAACGUACCCUUCGGUGCGGAAUAGGCCCUGGAAACGGGGUUUAAUACCGCAUACGCCCUUUUGGGGAAAGAUUUAUCGCCGAAGGAUCGGCCCGCGUUGGAUUAGGUAGUUGGUGGGGUAACGGCCUACCAAGCCGACGAUCCAUAGCUGGUUUUAGAGGAUGAUCAGCCACACUGGGACUGAGACACGGCCCAGACUCCUACGGGAGGCAGCAGUGGGGAAUCUUAGACAAUGGGCGCAAGCCUGAUCUAGCCAUGCCGCGUGAGUGAUGAAGGUCUUAGGAUCGUAAAGCUCUUUCGCUGGGGAAGAUAAUGACGGUACCCAGUAAAGAAACCCCGGCUAACUCCGUGCCAGCAGCCGCGGUAAUACGGAGGGGGUUAGCGUUGUUCGGAAUUACUGGGCGUAAAGCGCGCGUAGGCGGAC
rnacentral:rRNA from 1 species